rnacentral:rRNA from 1 species
AACGAACGCUGGCGGCAGGCUUAACACAUGCAAGUCGAACGCCCCGCAAGGGGAGUGGCAGACGGGUGAGUAACGCGUGGGAACAUACCCUUUCCUGCGGAAUAGCUCCGGGAAACUGGAAUUAAUACCGCAUACGCCCUACGGGGGAAAGAUUUAUCGGGGAAGGAUUGGCCCGCGUUGGAUUAGCUAGUUGGUGGGGUAAAGGCCUACCAAGGCGACGAUCCAUAGCUGGUCUGAGAGGAUGAUCAGCCACAUUGGGACUGAGACACGGCCCAAACUCCUACGGGAGGCAGCAGUGGGGAAUAUUGGACAAUGGGCGCAAGCCUGAUCCAGCCAUGCCGCGUGAGUGAUGAAGGCCUUAGGGUUGUAAAGCUCUUUCACCGAUGAAGAUAAUGACGGUAGUCGGAGAAGAAGCCCCGGCUAACUUCGUGCCAGCCGCCGCUAAAAAAC